UGCAGAAUCGCCCUGACUUGCAGCAGCGCCAGACGAUCACUGUGGAGCCAGAGAGGCGGGGGAAGAGCGCGUGUCAGAGACGGCCCAUAGACCAAUAGAUGAGGAAUGCCUUGAAGGAAUUUCAUCACAUUUGGCACAAGCGUCUACUUGGACUCAAGAUGAACUAAUUAGAUUUUGGUGAUCAAAGAAUGACACUGGAAAAAGUCCCACUGUGACUCUCCAGAG